rnacentral:rRNA from 1 species
AAUGAACGCUGGCGGCAGGCCUAAAACAUGCAAGUCGAACGCCCUAGCAAUAGGGAGAGGCGCACGGUUGCGUAACAUGUGGGAAUAUGCCUUUUGGUACGGAACAACGUUUGGAAACGAACGCUAAUACCGUAUGGUCCCUUCGGGGUAAAGAUUUAUCGCCAAAAGUUUAGCCCGAACUGGAUUAGCUAGUUGGCGAGGUAAUGGCUCACCAAGGCGACGAUCCAUAGCUGGUCUGAGAGGAUGAGCAGCCACACUGGGACUGAGACACGGCCAAGCCUCCUACGGGAGGCAGCAGUUAGGAAUAUUGGACAAUGGGCGCAAGCCUGAUCCAGCCCUGCCGCGUGAGUGAUGAAGGCCUUCGGGUUGUAAAGCUCUUUAGCCGACGAUUAUAAUGACUGUAGUCGGAGAAUAAGCCCCGGCUAACUUCGUGCCAGCCGCCGCCGUAA